rnacentral:lncRNA from 1 species
UUCGGUCUCACCUCUUCUUAGGGAACGAAAGUGGGGCCGAGAGACGAAGAGGCCGAGAGGUCAGCAAGCCAACCGCAGGAUACCAACCUGGAGAACCCAUCCACCCGCGUUACAAGGCCAACGCAAAUCGCCCUCACCAGCUGGGUCUGGGAGGCGUAGCCACGCCUCAAAGUACGUAACCACCGCAGAGCCUGAACGCGCCUGCGCCCUGGAUCUUUUGGGUCCCCAAACUACCUUUUCACCUCCUGGAAUUUGAGAUUCCAGAGCAGGCCUAUACUGUGGUACUCACAAUUGAAACUGUACCCGACGCCCCGUACUGUGCUCUGGACUUCUGUUUUCUUUCUCCACAGCUCUUCAAAUCAGGAGUCAGGAAUAGCGUCUCAAGGAUAGAUGCUGCGGACCUAGAUUAAAUAUCCUGAAAAGCAGGAGAAGUGAAGAAUUCUCUGCAGAGCUAUCACUCACGCAUGCAGAGGAGAAGGAUGAGAAGCUUUGAAAGGGGAGCAGCAGCGUGGCCUUUUUGCGUGGAGAAAGCAGCGGGGAAACAGUGUUGGAAGGAUUUCUGUGCUUUCUGAUUGCGAUUCUAGGAGGGAGAAUUGAGAUUUGGAAAAAACAAAAAAGAAUAGUCAACAUCCUCCUUCCUUGGAAAAAAAAAAGGAUGUAGGCCGGCGAGAUGGCUCCUGUUGGGAGUGAGGAGUGGAGAGUGCUUAUUGCUCAAACCUGGCCACCUGAAUUUGAUCCCUGGAACCAAUGUCAAAAGUGGAAAGAAAAAACUGACCGCAAAAGUUGUCUUCUGGCAGGCAUAAGCAACAAUAAGGUAUAUAAUAUACACAUAGAUACAUACAUACACAUAUGUGUGUAUAAUAAAAACCCUUAUCGGGGAAGAUGAGCACUAGAAUUCUCUGGUCUGGUGAAGAAUUUGGAUUGGCUGUUAAAUUAAAGAGUUAGGGACUGAAGAUGGCAGCUGUGUGUUCUGGAUUCACUAAUUCCUGUUUUCAGAAUUUGCAGAGUUGCUGCAGCUUAUUUUAAAUAAAAAAUUUAAGGC